rnacentral:rRNA from 1 species
GAUGAACGCUGGCGGCGUGCCUAAUACAUGCAAGUCGAACGCUGGAAAUCUAGCUUGCUCGAUUGAAGGAGUGGCGAACGGGUGAGUAAUACAUAAGCAACCUACCCACGAAGACUGGGAUAAUCUCUGGAAACGGGGACUAAUACCGGAUAGGUAAUCGGAAGGCAUCUUCUGAUUAUUAAAGGUUAAAAACACUGGUGGAUGGGCUUAUGGCGCAUUAGUUAGUUGGUGAGGUAACGGCCCACCAAGACGAUGAUGCGUAGCCGGCCUGAGAGGGUGAACGGCCACAUUGGGACUGAGACACGGCCCAGACUCCUACGGGAGGCAGCAGUAGGGAAUUUUCGGCAAUGGGGGAAACCCUGACCGAGCAACGCCGCGUGAGUGAUGACGGCCUUCGGGUCGUAAAGCUCUGUUGUAAGGGAAGAACGGUAGAUAGAGAAUAUCUAAAUGACGGUACCUUACCAGAAAGCCACGGCUAACUACGUG